UGCAAAAAAACUGUUUGCGUCUCUUGUUCUCUCUCCCUCAGAACACACACGCACAUACAUAGGGAAGAAAGAGAUCAACAUGAUUAGAGAGAGAGAAAGAGAAAGACGGAGAGGAAGAGGAAGAGAUGUGAGACCAGAGGCAGAUUUGACGGGCCAUAGAACGAGAUGUAUACGUUCGUAUGAAGGAGCCUUCGACAUUGGUACAAUUUCUUCAGAAACUUCUUCCUCGGGUCAAUCUCUCCCUCUCUCAUGCUUCGCUGAUGGCAACUGUAGCAGGGUUCUUGAUUCUGAUUGUCGUUCAAAGGCGGCGUGUCGUGGCUGCCCAUCCAUCUUCGUGUAGUUAGUUUACAAAACUUUUCAGCCUAGGGUUUCGGGUUUCCUUAUUCCUUGAGUUUUGAUGAAAAAAAGUAUGUUUAUAUGACCAUUAGUUACAUUUUCAGGUAAAAUAGAGUUUAGUUUUUUGCUAUGUUUGAGCUAAUUUUCAGUGUUACGUUGAAUUUGUAGGGUUAUUUCUUUGUUCGUUUUGAGAUUGGGAGAGACUAUAUCAUCUCUUUCAGUGUUGGUAGUUGCUGGUACUUAGAGGAUAUAUUGGACCAUAAUUUGCUUGGUUCAAUGGUCGAAUUCUUUAAUUCAUCAUUUUGUAUUGUAUUGUAUAGCUCUUGCCACAGGGAUUCAGGCGUUUUUUACAAGGUGCUAGCAGAACAACCUGGAUAGUGCCAAGGCAUGGAUCAAAAUCUUGGCCAAUUCGCAUUGAUAAUGGAGUACGGUUGGAGUGUAUUUUGUGCAGCUCGAUCAUCAACUGAGAAAUGGUUACAAACUUAUUUUAUCGUGUGAGCGUAAGUGGAUUUUCAAUACUGUAAUCUUGAAUGAAGAUCAUAUUGAGAUGAAAUAUGAUUGAUCAGAAGAACACGAUCCAUACUGGCAAAUACUGCAUCCUUCUCCUUUGGAAUUAUUCAGUACUUGUAAAUCCUUUUGUGCAC